rnacentral:rRNA from 1 species
UGGCUAGAACGAACGCUGGCGGCGUGCUAACACAUGCAAGUCGAACGCGAAAGGGACUUCGGUCCUGAGUAAAGUGGCGGCACGGGUGAGUAACGCGUAGAUAACCUGUCUUCAUGUCUGGAAUAAUACGCCGAAAGGGGUACUAAUACCGGAUAUUCUUGCUUUUCAUAAGUUAUGCAAGCAAAGGUGGCCUCUGCAUAUGCUACUGCAUGAAGAGGGGUCUGCGUACCAUUAGCUAGUAGGUGGGGUAAUGGCCUACCUAGGCGACGAUGGUUAGCGGGUCUGAGAGGAUGAUCCGCCACACUGGCACUGGAACACGGGCCAGACUCCUACGGGAGGCAGCAGUGAGGAAUAUUGCGCAAUGGGGGAAACCCUGACGCAGCGACGCCGCGUGAGUGAAGGAGGGCCUUCGGGUCGUAAAGCUCUGUCAAGAGGAAAGAAGUGUACAAUGGCUAAUACCUGUUGUAUUUGACGGUACCUCUAAAGGAAGCACCGGCUAACUCCGUGCCAGCCGCAGC